rnacentral:rRNA from 1 species
UACGUAGGGUGCAAGCGUUAAUCGGAAUUACUGGGCGUAAAGCGUGCGCAGGCGGUUUUGUAAGUCAGAUGUGAAAUCCCCGGGCUUAACCUGGGAACUGCGUUUGAAACUACAAGGCUAGAGUGUGACAGAGGGGGGUGGAAUUCCACGGUGUAGCGGUGAAAUGCGCAGAUAUCGGGAGGAACACCAGUGGCGAAGGCGGCGAUCUGGGAAGAUACUGACGCUGAGGUGCGAAAGCGUGGGGAG